CAGAAAAGGCAGCACUCCCUAUAUAUACAUAUGAAGGUAUUGCCACAGAGACCAUGACUUGGGAAUUUUAAAGAAGCACCAGCAGAGGUGAACUAAGUAAAAAUCAGUCUUCUGAACUGAAAUCAGAUCACCUAAAGGAGCCAAAACAUCCAGGACUACAGAGUGAAAUGUAUACAAAACAAGAACAUGACAAAAUAUAUUCCUCAAUUCCUAGAUUGCUUUAA
rnacentral:lncRNA from 1 species